rnacentral:lncRNA from 1 species
AGGUUGGCACUGUACUUUAAAAAGCAGUCCUUACUGACACGCAUUUGAGGUAGUAGAGAUGAUCAAUCUUUUAAACAUCCAUUAUUUGUUUCUUUUAUAAUUGGGCUAGAAUUAAAAACCUCUGUAUUUCUGUAUAUGCAGAUUAGAUUGCAACUGGUCGAGCAUGAUGUUAUCUUCAAGUGCUUUAUGAGACUGCUACACAGCUUCAGCAGGGACCCACCAGACAUGAACUCAGCCAGACGGUCUGAAAGCCACAGGCUAAAAGAGGAUGAUCAUCAAGAGAAACAAGCAAAGAGGAAAGAUCUGUGACUUCCGUCAAGGAACUCUGAGCCCACUGCAAGUUUUCACAUACCCCAGAGAAAGGUAAAUGCAAAGGAACUGUUCAUGUGUUCAGUGCGUAAUACUUUAAAAGAAGGAAACAACAUCUAAACAGGGUGUCUAAAGAAAUAAGUUUAAUGGACUACAUGUGUAAAUUCAGCCAUGCAGAGAUUGUCGUAGCAUUUUCAAGCUCUUGCCUAAAUUCUAUUUACUUGCCUAUAUACAUGACUAUGUUAUGUAAAACCUUUUUUUACCGUCUUGUACGUAGUGGAGAGUACCAUUUUUGUCCGUCACUAAAGAAAGUAAAUUAGUAACAAUUUCUACACACUGAACUGUAUCUGUACUGUGAUUUUAUUUUCCUCAAAAGAUGUCUUUCAUUCAGAAGAAAACUGGAUGUUUUCUAGGAUAACAAAAUGUGGAGUUCCAGAAGCUAAAAAAUGCCAAAUACAUUAAGUGUAGCUGUUGUAGAAAGUUAUGCAUCUGCAUGAUUUACGCAUUUUUGUUUAGGUACUUGUUUAGAGCACCUUGAAUUCUUGCAAUGUAGACAGGUGUAGAUUUUACUCAAUCCUGUCGUUUUUGCAUGUUUUCCCCUCCAGUACAGAGGAAUAUGUGAGCUUAGAAGAAACUAUUUACAAACUCUAAAGGCUAACACCUUUUCUGGAAUGAAACCUUUCCAGUGUUCCAGGAUAUUGUAAAGAGCAGUCCAUGCUGGAGGAAAGGCAGUGAAUACAUAGUGUUCAAAACUUUAAAUAGAAUAUAGUUUUGUGUGGACAAAAGCAGAUGUGUUUUUAAAAGUGCUAACUGAUCAUGCUUAAUCCUUUAAGGAAUUGCUUUCUCUGAAAUAGUGGAAUUGCUUUUAGAGUUGGUCCCUUCCUAGGGGAAAGAAAAGAAUCAAAAACUGACCCAUCAAACAUGUCAGGCUGUUACUAAACCUCACUGUGAAAGCAGCGCCACUUUCCUGACAAAUAGAUCUUGGACGCUAUUAGAAAAACAGAAAGCACUGGUGCUAACUGCUGCACUAACACUAUCUAAUUCACUUUAUUAACUAGGUAAUGAACUGAAGCCAUUGUGGUCUAAUUGAAAUAAAUAAAUACAUUAAAACGAUGAAUUAAAGUAA